UUGAACGCUGGCGGCAGGCCUAACACAUGCAAGUCGAGCGGCAUCUCUUGGCAACCUGGCGGCGAGCUUCGGACGGGUGAGUAACGCGUAGGAAUCUACCCAGUAGCGGGGGAUAGCCUGGGGAAACUCGGAUUAAUACCGCAUACGCCCUAAGGGGGAAAGCAGGGGAUCUUCGGACCUUGCACUAUUUGCAGAGCCUGCGUUGGAUUAGCUAGUUGGUAGGGUAAAGGCCUACCAAGGCAACGAUCCAUAACUGGUCUGAGAGGAUGAUCAGUCACACCGGAACUGAGACACGGUCCGGGCUCCUACGGGGGGCAGCAGUGGGGAAUAUUGGACAAUGGGGGCAACCCUGAUCCAGCCAUGCCGCGUGUGUGAAGAGGGCCUUCGGGUUGUAAAGCACUUUAAGUGGGGAGAAAGGUUCGGCAGUUAAUACCUGCCGGAAGUGAUGUUACCCACAGAAUAAGCACCGGCUAACUCUGUGCCAGCCGCCGCGGUAA
rnacentral:rRNA from 1 species